GCCCGUUUAGCUCAGUGGUAGAGCGCGCCACUCGUACACCUCGGUUCCGAUCGGGUUAAAGCGACAUGGUGAGGUCGGUUGUUCAAUCCAGCCAAUGGGCA